UACAGAGGGUGCAAGCGUUAAUCGGAAUUACUGGGCGUAAAGCGUGCGUAGACGGUUAUGUAAGUCAGGUGUGAAAGCCCCGGGCUCAACCUGGGAAUUGCAUUUGAGACUGCAUAGCUAGGGUGCGGAAGAGGGAAGCGGAAUUUCCGGUGUAGCGGGUGAAAUGCGUAGAUAUCGGAAGGAACAUCAGUGGCGAAAGCGGCUUCCUGGUCCAGCACCGACGUCAGGCACGAAAGCGUGGGGAGCAAACAGG
rnacentral:rRNA from 1 species